rnacentral:rRNA from 1 species
UACGAAGGGGGCGAGCGUUGUUCGGAUUUACUGGGCGUAAAGGGCGCGCAGGCGGCUAUCUUUGUCAGGCGUGAAAGCCCUGGGCUUAACCUGGGAAUGGCGCUUGGGACGGGGUGGCUAGAGAUCGGGAGAGGAGAGUGGAAUUCCCAGUGUAGAGGUGAAAUUCGUAGAUAUUCGGAAGAACACCAGUGGCGAAGGCGGCUCACUGGUCCGGUACUGACGCUGAGGUGCGAAAGCGUGGGGAGCAAACAGG